UGCAAGUCGAGCGGACAGAUGGGAGCUUGCUCCCUGAUGUUAGCGGCGGACGGGUGAGUAACACGUGGGUAACCUGCCUGUAAGACUGGGAUAACUCCGGGAAACCGGGGCUAAUACCGGAUGGUUGUUUGAACCGCAUGGUUCAAACAUAAAAGGUGGCUUCGGCUACCACUUACAGAUGGACCCGCGGCGCAUUAGCUAGUUGGUGAGGUAACGGCUCACCAAGGCAACGAUGCGUAGCCGACCUGAGAGGGUGAUCGGCCACACUGGGACUGAGACACGGCCCAGACUCCUACGGGAGGCAGCAGUAGGGAAUCUUCCGCAAUGGACGAAAGUCUGACGGAGCAACGCCGCGUGAGUGAUGAAGGUUUUCGGAUCGUAAAGCUCUGUUGUUAGGGAAGAACAAGUACCGUUCGAAUAGGGCGGUACCUUGACGGUACCUAACCAGAAAGCCACGGCUAACUACGUGCCAGCAGCCGCGGUAAUACGUAGGUGGCAAGCGUUGUCCGGAAUUAUUGGGCGUAAAGGGCUCGCAGGCGGUUUCUUAAGUCUGAUGUGAAAGCCCCCGGCUCAACCGGGGAGGGUCAUUGGAAACUGGGGAACUUGAGUGCAUAAGAGGAGAGUGGAAUUCCACGUGUAGCGGUGAAAUGCGUAGAGAUGUGGAGGAACACCAGU
rnacentral:rRNA from 1 species